CACGACCGCUGGCGGCAUGCCUAACACAUGCAAGUCGAGCGAGACCUUCGGGUCUAGUGGCGCACGGGUGCGUAACGCGUGGGAACCUGCCCUUAGGUUCGGAAUAACUCCCCGAAAGGGGUGCUAAUACCGGAUAAUGUCUUCGGACCAAAGAUUUAUCGCCUUUGGAUGGGCCCGCGUUGGAUUAGCUAGUUGGUAGGGUAAAAGCCUACCAAGGCGACGAUCCAUAGCUGGUCUGAGAGGAUGAUCAGCCACACUGGGACUGAGACACGGCCCAGACUCCUACGGGAGGCAGCAGUGGGGAAUAUUGGACAAUGGGCGAAAGCCUGAUCCAGCAAUGCCGCGUGAGUGAUGAAGGCCUUAGGGUUGUAAAGCUCUUUUACCCGGGAUGAUAAUGACAGUACCGGGAGAAUAAGCUCCGGCUAACUCCGCG
rnacentral:rRNA from 1 species